GGAUGUGAGGGCGAUCUGGCUGCGACAUCUCUCACCCCAUUGAUGACCAGGGUUGAUUCGGCUGAUCUGGCUGGCUGGGCGGGUGUCCCCUUCCUCCCUCAAUGAUCCAUGUGCGUCCCUCCCGAAGCUGCGUGCUCAGUCGAAGGGGACAACCACCCCGAUAGAGGAGGGCCGUUCCUCAGUCAGGGUAUACGAGUGGCUGCGCUCCCCUGCUAGAAUAUCCAAACAAGCUCUAUAUACUUNNNNNN
rnacentral:sRNA from 1 species